rnacentral:lncRNA from 1 species
AUGAAAUUUAUAAAAGUUUUCUUUGACUAUUUCUUUUGUGUUUUGUUUCCCAGGUCAGCAUGGAAGCUUCUUGUGGAAGAGAUAGAAUGUUCUAUUUUUUGGACACUGUUUCACAGUAUCUUUACACUGCUUGAGGCUGCUGUGGCACUCAACAAAUGGUUUUGGCCAACUGACUCACUUCUGCUCAGAUCAAGGAACAUAGAAGAAGUUUAAUAAGUGGUUCCUAUGGAGACACUGAUGCUUCAUCUCCCCAGUUACCUCCAUGUUCAAUUGCUUAUGGUCUGUCGCAACUUGACAGGUAGGUUUAAGUCUAUGUUCAAGUUUCAAAUAGCAUUGAAGUCCCAAAAUCUUCUGCAGAAUCAGAGUUCCAAGAUAUAUUAUGGUAACUACUCUUAGUUGCCACAACAAAUAAAACCUUGAAAUCUCCCGGGCUUACCA